rnacentral:rRNA from 1 species
UACGGAGGGUGCGAGCGUUGUCCGGAAUCACUGGGCGUAAAGGGCGCGUAGGUGGCUCGUGAAGCGUGCGGUGAAAGUCCGAGGCUCAACCUCGGAUCGGCCGUGCGGACUCGCGGGCUAGAGCGUUGUAGAGGCGGGUGGAAUUCCGGGUGUAGCGGUGGAAUGCGUAGAGAUCCGGAAGAACACCGGUGGCGAAGGCGGCCCGCUGGGCAACUGCUGACACUGAGGCGCGACAGCGUGGGGAGCAAACAGG